UAGAGUUUGAUCAUGGCUCAGGAUGAACGCUAGCGGCAGGCUUAACACAUGCAAGUCGAGGGGCAUCGGGAGGAAAGCUUGCUUUCCUUGCCGGCGACCGGCGCACGGGUGAGUAACACGUAUGCAACCUGCCCUCUUCAGGGGGACAACCUUCCGAAAGGGAGGCUAAUCCCGCGUAUAUCGGUUUCGGGCAUCCGAGAUCGAGGAAAGAUUCAUCGGAAGAGGAUGGGCAUGCGGCGCAUUAGCUUGACGGCGGGGUAACGGCCCACCGUGGCGACGAUGCGUAGGGGCUCUGAGAGGAAGGUCCCCCACACUGGUACUGAGACACGGACCAGACUCCUACGGGAGGCAGCAGUGAGGAAUAUUGGUCAAUGGGAGAGAUCCUGAACCAGCCAAGCCGCGUGAGGGAAGACGGCCCUAUGGGUUGUAAACCUCUUUUGUCGGAGAACAAAACCCGGGACGUGUCCCGGACUGCGUGUAUCCGAAGAAAAAGCAUCGGCUAACUCCGUGCCAGCAGCCGCGGUAAUACGGAGGAUGCGAGCGUUAUCCGGAUUUAUUGGGUUUAAAGGGUGCGUAGGCGGUCCGUUAAGUCAGCGGUAAAAUUGCGGGGCUCAACCCCGUCGAGCCGUUGAAACUGGCAGACUUGAGUUGGCGAGAAGUACGCGGAAUGCGCGGUGUAGCGGUGAAAUGCAUAGAUAUCGCGCAGAACUCCGAUUGCGAAGGCAGCGUACCGGCGCCAGACUGACGCUGAGGCACGAAAGCGUGGGGAUCGAACAGGAUUAGAUACCCUGGUAGUCCACGCAGUAAACGAUGAAUGCUGGUUGUCCGGGUCGAAUGAGAUCUGGGCG
rnacentral:rRNA from 1 species